rfam:Schistosoma curassoni strain Dakar, Senegal genome assembly, scaffold: SCTD_scaffold0003443
AACCUUUUGAAUCCGUACCGAGAUGUCGUCAAACACCCGAACAUCAGGACUGAUGAGACUCUCAAGAAAAUUUAGGUG